rnacentral:rRNA from 1 species
AUACGGAGGGUGCAAGCGUUACUCGGAAUCACUGGGCGUAAAGCGCGCGCAGGCGGUCUUUUAAGUUGGAUGUGAAAGCCUACAGCUCAACUGUAGAACUGCAUCCAAAACUGUCAGGCUAGAGUGUGGGAGAGGAAGAUGGAAUUAGUUGUGUAGGGGUAAAAUCCGUAGAGAUAACUAGGAAUACCAAAAGCGAAGGCAAUCUUCUGGAACACUACUGACGCUGAGGCGCGAAGGCGUGGGGAGCAAACAGGAUUAGAAACCCCAGUAGUCC